AUUGAACGCUGGCGGCAGGCCUAACACAUGCCAGUCGAACGGUAACAGGAAGCAGCUUGCUGCUUCGCUGACGAGUGGCGGACGGGUGAGUAAUGUCUGGGAAGCUGCCUGAUGGAGGGGGAUAACUACUGGAAACGGUAGCUAGUACCGCAUAAUGUCGCAAGACCAAAGAGGGGGACCUUCGGGCCUCUUGCCAUCGGAUGUGCCCAGAUGGGAUUAGCUUGUUGGUGGGGUAACGGCUCACCAAGGCGACGAUCCCUAGCUGGUCUGAGAGGAUGACCAGCCACACUGGAACUGAGACACGGUCCAGACUCCUACGGGAGGCAGCAGUGGGGAAUAUUGCACAAUGGGCGCAAGCCUGAUGCAGCCAUGCCGCGUGUAUGAAGAAGGCCUUCGGGUUGUAAAGUACUUUCAGCGGGGAGGAAGGGAGUAAAGUUAAUACCUUUGCUCAUUGACGUUACCCGCAGAAGAAGCACCGGCUAACUCCGUG
rnacentral:rRNA from 1 species